AGGAUAAACGCUGGCGGCGUGCCUAACACAUGCAAGUCGAACGCGCUUUUUUCGCAAGAGGAGAGCGAGUGGCGGACGGGUGAGUAACACAUGGGUACCUACCUUGGAGUGAGGGAUACCGGCGAGAAAUCGCCGACAAUACCGCAUACGCUUCUCUUCACCGGGAAGCAAAGUUGCGCAAGCGACGCUCUGAGAUGGGCCUGUGGCCGAUUAGCUAGUUGGUGGGGUAACGGCCUACCAAGGCGACGAUCGGUAGCUGGUCUGAGAGGACGAUCAGCCACACUGGGAUUGAGAACGGCCCAGACUCCUACGGGGGCAGCAGUGAGGAAUUUUCCGCAAUGGACGCAAGUCUGACGGAGCAACGCCGCGUGCAGGAUGAAGGUUUUCGGAUCGUAAACUGUCUUUUCGUCGGGGAAGAGAAUGGACGGUACCCGAGGAAUCAGCCCGGCUAACUACGUGCCAGCAGCCGACGGUAA
rnacentral:rRNA from 1 species